rnacentral:rRNA from 1 species
AUAGAGUUUGAUCCUGCUCAGAAUGACGCUACGGCAGGCCUAAUCAUGCAAGCGACGGGAGUAGCAAUACUCUAGUGGCGCACGGGUGCGUAAUGCGUAUGCAACCUACCUGUAAGUGGGGGAUAGCCCGGGGAAACCCGGAUUAAUACCGCAUAAGAUAGAGAAGUGGCAUCACUUUUUUAUUAAACAUUUAUGGCUUACAGAUGGGCAUGCGUAAGAUUAGCUAGUUGGCAGUGUAAGAGACUACCAAGGCAAUGAUCUUUAGGGGUUCUGAGAGGAAGAUCCCCCACACUGGUACUGAGAUACGGACCAGACUCCUACGGGAGGCAGCAGUAGGGAAUAUUGGGCAAUGUCCGCAAGGAUGACCCAGCCAUGCCGCGUGCAGGAAGAAGGCCUUCUGGGUUGUAAACUGCUUUUGGAAGGGAACAAAACGGUGCUGCGGCACCACUUGAGUGUACCUUCAGAAUAAGCACCGGC